rnacentral:rRNA from 1 species
UACGUAGGGGGCAAGCGUUGUCCGGAUUCACUGGGCGUAAAGGGUGCGUAGGCGGUCGGGUAAGUCUGACGUGAAAUCUCCAAGCCUAACUUGGAAACUGCGUUGGAUACUAUCCGGCUCGAGGAAUGGAGGGGAGACUGGAAUACUUGGUGUAGCAGUGAAAUGCGUAGAUAUCAAGUGGAACACCAGUGGCGAAGGCGAGUCUCUGGACAUUUCCUGACGCUGAGGCACGAAAGCCAGGGGAGCAAACGGG